ACCAGAGGUGGGCCAUCAGGGCCAGCAAAGCCUUCUCUGCUGACCAAAACAUUGUCAGAUCAGACAUUCAUAUUUUUUAUUAUUAAAGG